ACAGGGAUUGCCCUAGUAACGGCGAGUGAAGCGGCAACAGCUCAAAUUUGAAAUCUGGCGUCUUUGGCGUCCGAGUUGUAAUUUGCAGAGGGCGCUUUGGCAUUGGCAGCGGUCCAAGUUCCUUGGAACAGGACGUCACAGAGGGUGAGAAUCCCGUACGUGGUCGCUAGCCUUUACCGUGUAAAGCCCCUUCGACGAGUCGAGUUGUUUGGGAAUGCAGCUCUAAAUGGGAGGUAAAUUUCUUCUAAAGCUAAAUACUGGCCAGAGACCGAUAGCGCACAAGUAGAGUGAUCGAAAGAUGAAAAGCACUUUGGAAAGAGAGUUAAAAAGCACGUGAAAUUGUUGAAAGGGAAGCGCUUGCAGCCAGACUUGCCUGUAGUUGCUCAUCCGGGUUUUUACCCGGUGCACUCUUCUGCGGGCAGGCCAGCAUCAGUUUGGGCGGUUGGAUAAAGGUCUCUGUCAUGUACCUCUCUUCGGGGAGAACUUAUAGGGGAGACGACAUGCAACCAGCCUGGACUGAGGUCCGCGCAUCUGCUAGGAUGCUGGCGUAAUGGCUGUAAGCGGCCCGUCUUGAAACACGGACCAAGGAGUCUAACAUCUAUGCGAGUGUUUGGGUGUCAAGCCCGAACGCGUAAUGAAAGUGAACGGAGGUGGGAACCCCUCGGGGUGCACCAUCGACCGAUCCUGAUGUCUUCGGAUGGAUUUGAGUAAGAGCAUAGCUGUUGGGACCCGAAAGAUGGUGAACUAUGCUUGAAUAGGGUGAAGCCAGAGGAAACUCUGGUGGAGGCUCGCAGCGGUUCUGACGUGCAAAUCGAUCGUCAAAUUUGGGCAUAGGGGCGAAAGACUAAUCGAAACUAUCUAGUAGCUGGUUUCCUGCCGAAGUUU
rnacentral:rRNA from 1 species